AGAGUUUGAUCCUGGCUCAGAAUGAACGCUGGCGGCGUGCCUAACACAUGCAAGUCGGAUGUGCCGCAAGGUGCAUGGCAGACGGGUGAGUAACGCGUGGGGAAUCUACCUCUUUGUGGGGAAUAACGCUCCGAAAGGAGUGGUAAUACCGCAUGAGAUCCAUGGCUGGGAUGCUGUGGAUGAAACCUGGGGACCGCAAGGCCUGGGGCAAGGAGAGGAUCCUGCGUCUGAUUAGCUAGUUGGUGAGGUAAUGGCCCACCAAGGCGACGAUCAGUAGCCGGCCUGAGAGGGUGAUCGGCCACACUGGAACUGAGACACGGUCCAGACUCCUACGGGAGGCAGCAGUGGGGAAUUUUGCGCAAUGGGCGGAAGCCUGACGCAGCAACGCCGCGUGGGUGAUGAAGGUCUUCGGAU
rnacentral:rRNA from 1 species